AACAAGUUUUCUAUGUUAAGCAUCCAUAUUUCUAAACGAAGUGAUGAUGGACCGACUUGCAGAGGAAUCGUUUAAUUUUCUUUUCUUCUCGUAUUUCCCGAAAGAAAGUAACAAAUCCAAUGAGGAACGAAUAGCACACAGGGUGUUGUCGAAGAGGAACACGUAGUCAAGCCAAUCGUUCUCGCCGGUCAACCAUAAGCAAGGUUCAGUGACAUGGAUGAAAAGGCUAAAAGCCAUCAACUUGUUGAAAAAGAAGAGGUAUUUUGGAAGGAAUGUUUGAAGCUUUGAAGAUCUUACUGCCAAGAAGAUGCCUUGAGCGGAAAUAAAUCAUAAGUAAAGACAAAGGGAUGUGCUUGAAUUUGGUUUUUCAAUCUAAAUGUGUCACAAGAAGGCAGCUUGAUUCACCAAUAGGAAAAAACCAAAGCAGAUAUGAAAUUCUAGACAAUGCUCUUGAGCAAUGUGUUCGUUGUUACAUUUAUUUUCUUUUUUGGCAUCGUAGUAUUAUUAGUAAAUCACAAUUUUUUUUUCUUCCUUUUAGGUUUUGGGCUUUGUUUAAUGUAGUGGCUAAAUGGACAAUGAGAGAUUGAAUCAAUAACAUACUAAGCAGGCAGCUCAUGGUCAAACUCAUUUGGCAUAAAGGGUUUGUUAGAUAUGGGUGGAAUUGGCUUUAACCGUUUAGAUCUAGCAGCUAUUAGACUGGUGGUGUUGGCCCCAUGAAUCUUAUCGUCUUCAAGCUGGGUGAAAAAGCAUUCAGUUAUUUUCGUGCAACAUCCUCACAAAAAUGCAACAAGACUUAACAAAUACAGCAAAUAGAUGCAAAGUUGAACUGUACCACUAAGUACCAGAGUAAUGUGGCAAAUAUUCACAAUGGUGAUUACUCUUCACACAGCUAACAUUUAGUAUGUUUUUCCGCUGCAGUUUGGAAGCCACUUGGAGUAAAUUUUUCGUCAGCUACUCACAAAAAAAAGAUUGGCAAAUCUGACAAAUGGGUGGGUGAGAUUUUGUCCAGGAAUUUCGACUGAAAGAAGCGUUGAAGGAUUGAUGGAUCCCCUGCCAAAUCGUCACAGCUGGAACCUUUGUAUCGGCGACAAGCACCAACCAGCAGGAGACGAAAUCCGAAGUGUGUGUACGUGCGCGUGUGACUCGUUUGACAACAUCAUAACUCUCGAGCAAAAAGCGAGUAUUUCGAGAUUAUUGUUGAAGUUGUGGGCAGUUCUUGGUCCAUGCGUGAUUCAACGGAACGUUUGACACUUUCGACGUAAAUACCCCGAGGGAAAGGCGUCUUGCAUUAAAUUGGGUUGAAAGUGUGGGUCAAGGACAGAUUUAGUAGCGUCAUCCAAAGCUAUUAGCAAUGCUGUUGGGUGUCAGAAUCAUUUACGUUACUGCCCAGACUUUGAUUGCCUUCCAAAAUCGUCUGCUCGACGAAACUAUUCGCAAAAAUGCUCGAGUAUCUUUCAGUGUUAGUCCUGUAGAAGCCGAAGCGAAUAGCUGAAUCACACGUAUCAUUUCAUCUCUUUUAUACCUCAUCAUUGUAUAGAAACUAUGUCGGUAACCCUUUGUUUUGUGUUUUGUUGAAAUUUUGCUAUGUCAUUUUCAAGUGAGAUUUUUAUUUGUUUUUAGAUAGCUGUACUGAUGUGUAAAGAA